rnacentral:rRNA from 1 species
CCUACGGGAGACAGCAGUAGGGAAUCUUCCACAAUGGGCGAAAGCCUGAUGGAGCAACGCCGCGUGGGUGAAGAAGGUCUUCGGAUCGUAAAACCCUGUUGUUAGAGAAGAAAGUGCGUGCGAGUAACUGUUCACGUUUCGACGGUAUCUAACCAGACAGCCACGGCUAACUACGUGCCAGCAGCCGCGGUAAUACGUAGGUGGCAAGCGUUAUCCGGAUUUAUUGGGCGUAAAGGUAACGCAGGCGGUCUUUUAAGUCUGAUGUGAAAGCCUUCGGCUUAACCGGAGUAGUGCAUUGGAAACUGGGAGACGUGAGUGCAGAAGAGGAGAGUGGAACUCCAUGUGUAGCGGUGAAAUGCGUAGAUAUAUGGAAGAACACCAGUGGCGAAAGCGGCUCUCUGGUCUGUAACUGACGCUGAGGUUCGAAAGCGUGGGUAGCAAACAGGAUUAGAUACCCUUGUAGUC